GAUGAACGCUGGCGGCGUGCCUAAUACAUGCAAGUCGAGCGAACGGACGAGAAGCUUGCUUCUCUGAUGUUAGCGGCGGACGGGUGAGUAACACGUGGAUAACCUACCUAUAAGACUGGGAUAACUUCGGGAAACCGGAGCUAAUACCGGAUAAUAUUUUGAACCGCAUGGUUCAAAAGUGAAAGACGGUCUUGCUGCCACUUAUAGAUGGAUCCGCGCUGCAUUAGCUAGUUGGUAAGGUAACGGCUUACCAAGGCAACGAUGCAUAGCCGACCUGAGAGGGUGAUCGGCCACACUGGAACUGAGACACGGUCCAGACUCCUACGGGAGGCAGCAGUAGGGAAUCUUCCGCAAUGGGCAAAAGCCUGACGGAGCAACGCCGCGUGAGUGAUGAAGGUCUUCGGAUCGUAAAACUCUGUUAUUAGGGAAGAACAUAUGUGUAAGUAACUGUGCACAUCUUGACGGUACCUAAUCAGAAAGCUACGGCUAACUACGUG
rnacentral:rRNA from 1 species